rnacentral:rRNA from 1 species
GACGAACGCUGGCGGCGUGCCUAAUACAUGCAAGUCGAAAGCAGCGGGGACGGGUGAGUAACACGUGGGUAACCUCCCAUCAGAGGGGAUAACACUUGGAAACAGGUGCUAAACUGAUACUGAUGGAUGGCCCCGGGGGGCAUUAGCUAGUAGGUGAGGUAAAGGCUCACCAAGGCCACGAUGCAUAGCCGGCCUGAGAGGGUGAGCGGGCACACUGUGACUGAGACACGGUCCAGACUCCUACGGGAGGCAGCAGGAGGGAAUCUUCGGCAAUGGCCGAAAGUCUGACCGAGCAAUGCCGCGUGGUUGAAGAAGGUUUUCGGAUCGUAAAGUUCUGUUGUUGGAGAGGCGGUAUCUGACCAGGAAGCCACGGCUAACUACGUGCCAGCAGCCGCGGUAAUAC